rfam:Glycine max cultivar Williams 82 chromosome 2, whole genome shotgun sequence.
UUGGCAUUGUGAUGAUAGUUUUGAAUGUUUUCAUAUGAUUAUUCAUAUGAUGAAUACAAUCCUCCUACUCAUUCUGA